AAACCCUAAUCUCCAGUGUGAUGGUAUUUGGAGGUGGGGCCUUUGGGAGGUAACUGGGCUUGGAUGAGGUCAUGGGGGUGGAACUCAUGAUGGAAUUGGAGCCUUUACAAGGGAAUGAAGAGACAAGAGCUCUCUUUAUGCCACGUGAGGAUACAGCAAGGCCCCAAUCUGCAAGCCAGGAAGAGUCGUCACGAGAACCAGACCAUGCAGGAACUCUGAUCGUGGACAUUUCAACCUCCAGAACUGUGAUCCAGAAUGCAUAUGUAUCUUUGGAAGAAACUCUGAAGUAAAGGCCGGAAUAUUCUUUGUUUAAAACAUUAAAAACAAAACAGACCAAAGCAUCAAGCAAGAAGUUUCCUGGCAAUAAACUAAGCACAGCAUUAUUUUUUAAGGAACACAAAUUAAGUGUUCAACCUGUGGCAAAUUUGUACUUUCUCCCUGAAUUAUGUUGUUAUCAAAGAAAAAAAUUGGGAAGCAUGGCAAAAUAUCAUCAAAACUGAAACUAGAAUUAAACAAAACUAAAUUAAAAUGAAAUAAAAUGAUGUCCAUUCUUAAU
rnacentral:lncRNA from 1 species